UCUGACAACACAAGUUUGGUGUGAUUCCAAAUCUUAAAACCCUAGUCCCCAAUUUGCACCUUUCUUCGCACUCUUCAGUCUUCUGUCUUCACCUCUCUUUCAAAGUCGAUCCACCACCAGCACCACCAUCAUGGGCAAGAAGCGGAAGGUUGCACCCAAAUCAUCUCAAACCGUUGAGCCCCCGCCCAAGCAGCACCAACCUGAACCUCAACAGGAAUACGAAGAGGUUGAGGAAGAGGUAGAAGAAGAGGUCGAAGAAGAGGAGGAGGUAGAGGAAGAAGAGGAAGAGGAGGAGGAGGAAGAAGAAGAACAAGAAGGAGGUAACGAACAAAAGCAACAACAAGAGGACGAAGACGACGAGCCCAUACCGAAGCUUCUAGAACCUUUUGGUAAGGACCAGAUCUUGAGUCUUCUCUGCGAAGCGGCCGCCAAGCACCGUGACGUGGCCGAUCGAAUCCGUCGGGUGGCCGACGAGGACGCUGUCCACCGGAAGAUCUUCGUCCACGGCCUUGGUUGGGACACCACCGCCGAGACCCUCAUCAGUGCGUUCCGCCAGUACGGCGAGAUCGAGGACUGCAAGGCCGUCACCGAUAAGAUCUCCGGCAAGUCCAAGGGCUACGGAUUUAUCCUCUUCAAGACCCGCCGCGGCGCCCGCAAUGCCCUCAAGCAGCCGCAGAAGAAGAUCGGUAACCGCAUGACAGCGUGCCAGCUGGCAUCCAUAGGCCCCGUCCAGCAGCCGGCACAGCAGCCUGCUGCCGCGGCCGCCUCGUCAGGGUCGGCAGUCUCCGAAUACACGCAGAGAAAGAUCUAUGUGAGCAACGUUGGGUCCGAAUUGGACCCGCAGAAGCUGAUGGCGUUCUUCUCGAGGUUCGGUGAGAUCGAGGAAGGGCCAUUGGGGCUCGACAAGGUCACUGGGAAGCCAAAGGGGUUCUGUUUGUUCGUUUACAAGAGCGUUGAGAGUGCGAAGAGGGCGUUGGAGGAGCCUCACAAGGAAUUUGAGGGACACGUGUUGCAUUGCCAGAAGGCCAUUGAUGGACCCAAGCAAGGGAGGAUGCAGCUGCAGCACAACGUUCCAAGGACGCAGUUUCAGAGAAACGACAACGCAGGGUUUGGUGCUGGUGUUGGUGGUGGCAUUGGUAACAAUGUGCAGGGGCAUUUGAUGGCGCCCGCGGCUGCCGCAGCCACCCCUUUAGGGGUGAACCAAGCAGCUGUGCCGCCGCUGAAUCCGGCACUUGGGCAGGCAUUGACGGCCCUGCUUACUCAGCAGGGUGCUUCGUUGGGGCUCACCAAUUUGUUGGGAGGUUUGGGAUCAACUGCAGGGGCUGUUAAUUCAGGCGUUCCAGCGGCAGCAGCAGCAGCACACACGAUGCAGGGUGGUUACAGUACUCAGCAGAAUAUAAGCCCUGGUGUUAUGAGCGCGUACGGGAGUCAGGUAGGGCUGCAGGCGGCUUAUCCGAACCAGCAGGUCGGGCAGGGUGGCAGCUCUGGAAGAGCGCAACCUGGCGUUGGGCAGUAUGGUGGUGUUGCUCCUUACAUGGGGCACUAGGUUUGUGUUGCAGAGAAAUAGGGAAGGUUUCACAAUAAGUGAGAAUUAUCUAGCUAGCUUCUUUAGGAUGUAAUUAGGAGUUGAGGUAGCUGCAAACACAGUAAAAGUUGAACCAUGUGGAAUGUUGAUCUCUGCAUUGGAGGCUUUUGCUAAAUCUUUUGAAUUGGUGUGUGAACCGUGAUAGAUAAAGAUUACACCUAAGUGAAUCAGUAUUUUAUUACUGGCCUGGUGAUUGUUCUGAAGUGUAAGGAGCUGAUGCAAUUGGCGUAUUUAUAAAGAAAUGUUACUUUCUACAAUGAUCAGAAUGUUUAAAUUUUCAAAUGGAGUUCUGUUUUCGCUACCUGCUUUUUCGUAUUUGCUUCCAUUUCAAAAUAGUGUAGUAUUUUGCCUUUUAUUUAAUCUUUAAAAAAAAAAAAACGAUGGAACUAUUUUAGUGCAAUGAAUUUUAGUUUUAUUUGUAGUAUUUGGAUUUUCAGAUUCUGAGCCAAACAUACUUUGAAAUAUAUAAUUGUGUGGAUUAUCAUGCUUCAA